rnacentral:rRNA from 1 species
GAUGAACGCUGGCGGCGUGCCUAAUACAUGCAAGUCGAGCGAACGGACGAGAAGCUUGCUUUUCUGAUGUUAGCGGCGGACGGGUGAGUAACACGUGGAUAACCUACCUAUAAGACUGGGAUAACUUCGGGAAACCGGAGCUAAUAUCGGAUAAUAUUUUGAACCGCAUGGUUCAAAAGUGAAAGACGGUCUUGCUGUCACUUAUAGAUGGAUCCGCGCUGCAUUAGCUAGUUGGUAAGGUAACGGCUUACCAAGGCAACGAUGCAUAGCCGACCUGAGAGGGUGAUCGGCCACACGGGAACUGAGACACGGUCCAGACUCCUACGGGAGGCAGCAGUAGGGAAUCUUCCGCAAUGGGCGAAAGCCUGACGGAGCAACGCCGCGUGAGUGAUGAAGGUCUUCGGAUCGUAAAACUCUGUUAUUAGGGAAGAACAUAUGUGUAAGUAACUGUGCACAUCUUGACGGUACCUAAUCAGAAAGCCACGGCUAACUACGUG